rnacentral:lncRNA from 1 species
UGUGGCUCAGUGGUAACAAACUGGACUAGUAACCAUGAGGAUGAAGGUUCAAUCCCUGGCCUCGCUCAGUGGGUUAAGGAUCUGGCAUUGCUGUGAGCUGUGGUGUAGGUCAUAGACAAGGCUUGAAUCUGGUGUUGUUGUGGCUAUGGCAUAGGCCCUGCAGCUACAGCUCUGAUUUGACUUCUAGCCUGGGAAUUUCUGUAUGCCAUAGGCGUGGACCUAUACAUUGAGGAAUUCUGGACUAGGAAGCACAUUUUUGAGAAUUCCAAAGCUGCAUUAUCCACUAUGUUAGUCACUCGACAUGUGUCGAUAUAUAAAUGCAAAUUUAGAUUAAUUCACUUGUAUAAAAUUAAAGAUUCUACUUUUGGGGUGAACUAGCCACAUUUCAAGUACCCAAGAGUCACACUUGGCUAGAGACUACCAUAUUAGACAGUGCAAACAUAUUUUUAAAUUUGCACUGUGGCAGAUAUUUCAAUUGAAUUGCACAGCCCUGAAGACAGAUGCCACAAAGAAACCCAUACACAUAGAAUCAGAUACAGUUCUUGAGAGGUGAGGCAGAGGAAUAUUCUAGAGUUGUUCGCGAUGAGCUCACUAAGGUAGGAUGGAGGGCUGGCAUCAUACAAGUGAUGAGACGCCUUGUCUGGAAUAGCUCAGCUUCUUUUGGUGAUAUGGUUUAGGAAGGUUUUGAGUUGGGUAGCAUCUUACAGACCUGGUUCUGCUCAAUGAUGAGGUUAUAGCUGCUGGGGGAUGAACUUGGUGAUACUAGAUCUAGACCUGACUGGCUGAGAAAAGCUGAAAGAGAAUCUUAAAAAGAGGCCAAAUGAGGAACUGACAUAGUGCAAAUUGAACACCCUGCUAAAUGUUAACAUGUAUUUUUGAAAGAAACCCACUUGACAUCCAAGUGUGAGAAAUUUCAUUUGCUUUCCUGUGUCUUUAAAAUAGUUAUGAUGUAGACCCAUGGUCAUUGGUUGGGGAGAAUGAGAUCUGCAGUCACCGUGUGUAAGAUGUUACCAGAACAUUACUAGGAAAAUUGUAAUACAUCUUCUCUUUAUAAAAUGUAUUUAUUCCUCUUUGCUUUUAAAAUUAAUUUAGUUUAUUUCAAAAGAGCAGUAAAGGAUGAGAUAAAAACCUGGAGACAAUGAAAAAAUAUAUCCUGUUUGUUUUCCGUACCAAACAAAAGGUUAGGGCUAUUUGUUUUUCAAAAUAAAGCAAAUAAUUCUUUGGUCAUCUAUAAUAGGGCUGAGCUAUUUUGAAUGGUUUGAUGUCAUUUCUACAUCCCUCAAGGAAACAAAGGGGAAAGUCAGAGGAAAGGGAAAAGGCAGCUUUGAUAAGUCAUGCCAGCCCCUGGGCCCUGAGAGUGAAGCAUCCUGUUUUUAUCAUGUAGCUGAAAAACAGAAGAAGAAAAAAAAUUUACUGCGAUCAGUGGUAUCCAUUCUUUUGUUAUUUUGCAGUUACCUGGUAUAAUUCCCUAAGUAAUCAAACUAAAGGAGGGCCUUUAUAGUGACAACUGUGAAACAAUGGGUCAGUCUGUAUAAAGGUCACUGGAAAAUUAGAGUUUGAGGUGGAGAAAGAAUGGUGACAAACCAGAGAAAGUUCAUGAUAAGAAAAAUAUUCAGUGUCUUGAAUUUCUGUUACCACCAGAUUUUAUGGCAGUCCUAUCAAUGCCAUCAAUUAAGACUCCCAGUUAUUGUAAGAGUCAGUGGGAGACACUACACAUAAAAAGUAAUCCGAAAUAUAAUGCUCAUAAAAAUAAAGAAUUCCUUCCAAACCAAAAAAUGGCUGCUAAAUGGACUGUUUGUGUUUCCUGGGGUUGCUAUAUCUAUUAAUCAUUCAAUCAUCUAAAAGGACUUCAAGCAAAAUGACCUUGAAGAUUGCUACCAGUUGGAAUUCAUACCCUUUCAGUUGUCUUAUCUCUGGGUUUCCAGGUGCAAUCCUAUAGCAUUUAUCAACGUAGCAUCUAUAGAAUGUCACCUCAGCACGAGUUCACUCACAGCAGUUAUUGAAGAAACACCUCCUCACCCCUCUAUAUAUCAGCCUGACUUUCUAGUACGUCCUCCAUGCCGGGGCAGAAAGAGGAGAGCAGAACAGCCUCUCUGCAUUUUAGAAUAUUUAGGACUAUUAUUUGAAGCAGAGUUCUAAGGGUUAUUUUCCUUCAUGAAUAUGGUUCUUCAAUUCAUGUAAAGACUAUUAAGCCCAGAAUCGUCCAGUAACUAACUUGCAUUCUUACUGUCUUUGUCAGGACUUGUGAGAAAGAUUAAAAAAUUCCGUCGGUCACCUGGAUGUUUGGUUUACUUGCUGCCAAACAUCUGGAUAUUUAAACAGAUCCAGAUAAAAUAAUAGUUUCCAAGAAUUGUAUAUGAAUUGUGUAGAUGCAGCCUCAGACUGCAGGCAAGAGAAGUUGAUAGGAUUCCGAAGAGCUAUUUAUAUAAUUAGCCUCUAUCAAGAAGAUAUGAUUUCAGCCUCUGUCCUUUGGAACACAUUAUGAUUUAGAUGAAAUUGGUUCACUAUUUUAGGACUUCUAUGUAUUGCUUUCUUCCAUUAUGGUUCAAGCCUCCCAGUGAAUUGAAAAUAUUCGAGUACUUAGAAUCCCGAAGGAUUGUCACUGGGAAUGAACAGAAGGUCUCUCUCCUUCCCCCUCCUUUUCCUGUUUUCAAGUUCCAGGGCCAGAUAUAUGGCUCUGAGACAACACAGAAGCAGUGUCAAGAAAACCAUUUUGCUCAAGGGACCUGGCAGUUGAACUCUCCCCAAAUGCUUUUAAAAAGAAAGAAAGAAAAAAUAUAUAUAUAUUAAAUGCCAAUUUCAAACAAAUCCCAAGAUUUGUGGAGCCCCUGUUCACCUCGUGAUGUUGCUAGAGAUAUGAAUGUACACCAAAGGAGCUAACAGAUUAUGGAAAGUUGAUGCUUAAAGUCUCUUGAGUUUUCUAACAAGAGAUCUGGGAAAUUUAAAAGCAUAUCAGGUUUCCCAGAGAUUAUUAACUCUGGACUGCAUUUCAAAGUCUAUCCAGUGCCGUCUGCUUUAUACCAAACAGAAGGGAAUGUACUACCCAGACGAAGCAGACAGAACUAAUAAGAGCUGUAAUAAAUCAAAUUAAGAAAUAUUUAUUGAACAUCUCUCUGCAUCUCCAGCAUUGAGAUGUUAGGUGUGU